ACCAAACCUGACGGUCAGGAGGCAGACUGAAGGUCAAGUGGCAACCACGUUUGUUACCUGAACCCCUGGAUGGCCCAGCGAGGUGCAGAGGGAGCAGCCUCCGAGUCUCAAAGCCCCCCAGGUCCAACUCAGACUCGAACUUCAUCAGUUCAAUGAGGGUGGUCCCUUGGUGGUGGGAUUCCGAGCCCAGCACAUCCUGCUUUCAACAGGAGCAACGCUAAGCAAACGCGUGGUCCAAGGGAAGCCGCCUGGCUAGAGAAGACAUGGACUGCACAGGUCCACCUGCUGUGGGGGCAGCCUGAGAUGACUCCUCCAUGUGACACCCUUGAGCUCAUCCCCGUGAGCCACUUAGCUUUUCCAGCUUCCACAGAGAAGUUUAACUUCACCGGUCAGCUCUACGGUAGCCGCUUAUACAAAAACUCAACACUUGUUUCUAAAUAAGCAGGCAGCUGGUGAAAUAGGGAGAGAGCAAGCGUGUGAGCUGCAGGAGGAAAAGAGGGAGAAGACCUUAAG